rnacentral:rRNA from 1 species
UACAGAGGUCUCAAGCGUUGUUCGGAUUUAUUGGGCGUAAAGGGUGCGUAGGCGGCGAGGUAAGUCGGAUGUGAAAUCCCGGGGCUCAACCCUGGAACUGCAUUCGAUACUGCCUUGCUCGAGGACUCGAGAGGAGAUUGGAAUUCACGGUGUAGCAGUGAAAUGCGUAGAGAUCGUGAGGAAGACCAGUGGCGAAGGCGGAUCUCUGGACAGUUCCUGACGCUGAGGCGCGAAGGCCAGGGGAGCAAACGGG